rnacentral:rRNA from 1 species
UACGUAGGGGGGCAAGCGUUGUCCGGAUUUAUUGGGCGUAAAGCGCACGCAGGCGGUGCAGUAAGUUCAGAGUGACAGGUGGUGGCUUAACUACCACAGGCCUCGGGAAACUGCUGCACUUGAGGGCUUGAGAGGGACGCGGAAUUCCAGGUGGAGCGGUGAAAUGCGCAGAUAUCAGGAGGAACACCGGUGGCGAAGGCGGUUCUCUGGGCAUUACCUGGCGCUGAGGAGCGAAAGUGUGGGGGAGCGAACAGG